GCCGCGGUAAUACGUAGGUGGCAAGCGUUGUCCGGAAUUAUUGGGCGUAAAGCGCGCGCAGGCGGUCCUUUAAGUCUGAUGUGAAAUCUUGCGGGCUCACCGGNGCGGUCAUUGGAAACUGGGGGACUUGAGUGCAGAAGAGGAAAGCGGAAUUCCACGUGUAGCGGUGAAAUGCGUAGANAUGUGGAGGAACACCAGUGGCGAAGGCGGCUUUCUGGUCUGUAACUGACGCUGAUGCGCGAAAGCGUGGGGAGCAAACAGGAUUAGAUACCCUGGUAGUCCACGCCGUAAACGAUGANUGCUNANUGUUGGANGGUUUCCGCCCUUCNNUGCUGCCUCUAACGCAUUAAGCACUCCGCCUGGGGAGUACGGUCGCAGUACUGACACUCANAGGAUGUGAGGG
rnacentral:rRNA from 1 species